UUGCUGUUAACAAUUUAUUUCACUAGUCCAGCAUUCUAGUGAAAGGUCUCUUUAUUUUUACAAGAAAUCCAGGGUUUCUCUCUAUUUAACAAUAAUACAUUACAAUUCAUCUAAACUAUAUUAUAAAUAUUUCAUUUUCAAUCGUAAAUAAAUAAGUAUAUAUGAAAUUCGUAUUUAUCAAUAUGUAUUAUCUAGCUUGUUUGGAUAGAAAAAGUUUCCGGAAAUAGUUCACACUUGCCGUUAUCGAUUUACUAUUAUUGUAUUGGUAUCUCUUCCUGGUUUGGAAUAGUGAUUUAAAUAUGAUUAAUAUAAGCUAUUCACAGUAUUCAAUCGUGUAUUCUUUUAUUUCAAUUUUGAAUAAGUCCCAAUGGUGUCCAAGAUCCUUGUCGAUGUUCGACCUUGACUUUAAUAAUAGGUUGACCCAGUGUCACCUCAUCGAACUGACGUGAUAAAUUUAAAUACCACAUGAAGUUUACAAUUGGUUUGAUAGAAAAUAUAUGUGAUAGUGGAUUUGUAAAAUUUCGUAAUCCAUGUGUUAUCGGAACUUGAAACUUGCACGUAUUAUUCAUGGAUUUACCUAGGAAUACUAGUACUGUGUAAACCCGUGUUACUAUAUAUUGCCAGUCGUUGACUAAAAACAGAAUUGGACUUUCCCUUGCUAUACAUCUUGUACAUAGCGAAGACUUGUGAGACAUACUAUCACAUUUGAUAAUAAAUGUGUUUUCAGUGGAUAUUUGAAUUCUUUUCACAAGGAAAAAUAGAUGUUGGAAAAAGUGCUUAAUUAUCAACUUCACAUCACGAAUUAUGUUUUUACCAGAAAAAGCAGAUUCUAUUGUGCUAUUUAUAACAUACAUGUACCAUAAUAUCAAGUUACUAGUAGGAAUAUUUUCCUUUUUCUCAACAAACAUAUAUUUGACUUUCAAUUUGUCAUUUCAUUUUGGAUGUAUGCAAUCUAUAAUUACAUCACAUUCAUGUUUUUGUUUUUUUUUCAAUAGUUAUAAUAAAAAUAAUAAAAAUUAUAUA